AUCACUUCUUGGCCUUUUGGCUAAGAACAAGUGCAGUAUCUCUUCUUAUCAGUUUAGUAUCUGUUACAUCCUUGACGAGAAGACUUUAUCUGAAAUGGAUUUUUGGGUUCAGGAGUUGGAUCCAGAGCUUGCUUCCAUUAAUAAGUUUCAGACUAGAGGAAAUGGCA
rfam:Caprimulgus carolinensis contig116021, whole genome shotgun sequence.